rnacentral:rRNA from 1 species
GAUGAACGCUGGCGGCGUGCCUAAUACAUGCAAGUCGAGCGAACGGACGAUAAGCUUGCUUCUCUGAUGUUAGCGGCGGACGGGGGAGUAACACGUGGAUAACCUACCUAUAAGACUGGGAUAACUUCGGGAAACCGGAGCUAAUACCGGAUAAUAUUUUGAACCGCAUGGUUCAAAAGUGAAAGACGGUCUUGCUGUCACUUAUAGAUGGAUCCGCGCUGCAUUAGCUAGUUGGUAAGGUAACGGCUUACCAAGGCAACGAUGCAUAGCCGACCUGAGAGGGUGAUCGGCCACACUGGAACUGAGACACGGUCCAGACUCCUACGGGAGGCAGCAGUAGGGAAUCUUCCGCAAUGGGCGAAAGCCUGACGGAGCAACGCCGCGUGAGUGAUGAAGGUCUUCGGAUCGUAAAACUCUGUUAUUAGGGAAGAACAUAUGUGUAAGUAACUGCGCACAUCUUGACGGUACCUAAUCAGAAAGCCACGGCUAACUACGUG